ACGUUUUUUUUUACACUUCCCACUUGGCUGUAUGGCAUACAGGUGUGUGCCUACGCGCCGGGAAAAAGUUAUGUUCGUUUGACAUUUCGUUUACGCGAUGACGAUGGCAAUUUAGUCCCGUCGCGAUUAUUUCUUUAAAGUGGUGUAUAAGCCACAUAUAUCAUGAUGAAAGGAUGGUGAAGUCUUCUGUAUAAAAACAAUGGUUUAGUCCAUCGACUA